GAUAAACGCUGGCGGCGUGCCUAACACAUGCAAGUCGAACGUCCUCUCUCGCAAGAGAGAGGGAGUGGCGGACGGGUGAGUAACACAUGGGUCACCUACCCUUAAGUGAGGAAUACCGGCGAGAAAUCGCCGACAAGACCGCAUAGGCUCUCUCUUUUGCAAGAGAGAGCAAAGCUUCGCAAGAGGCGCUUGAGGAUGGGCCUGUGGCCGAUUAGCUGGUUGGAGGGUAAUGGCUUACCAAGGCGACGAUCGGUAGCUGGUCUGAGAGGACGAUCAGCCACACUGGGA
rnacentral:rRNA from 1 species